GACGAACGCUGGCGGCAUGCCUAACACAUGCAAGUCGAACGAAAGCGUGGAGCCUGCUUGCUGUUUCUGCGGUCUAGUGGCAAACAGGUACGUAAAUCGUAUCCACUCUGCCGGACGUACGUGGGCAACAGGUGGCAACGACCGCAAAUGCCCAAUACGAUCUGAUGGUGGACCCUCGGACGUCAGGCAGGCUGGCGUCCUUUCAUAAGCUGUUGCCGGUGGUGGGGUAUGGGCCGUAUCAGACAGCUGUCGGGGUCACGGCCGACCAAGGCGACGAUCAGUAGCCGGUCUGAGAGGAUGAACGGCCACAUUGGAACGGAGACACGGUCCAGACUCCUACGGGAGGCAGCAGUGGGGAAUAUUGCGCAAUGGGCGAAAGCCUGAAGGAGCAAGGCAGCGUGAGUGAAGACGGCCUUCGGAUUGUAAAGCUCUGUUAUACGGGAGGAAUAAUCUUGAGGUUAAAACAAGUGGGAAUGGAGGUUACAGUAAGAGAAAGCCACGCCGAAUUAGGG
rnacentral:rRNA from 1 species